GGGUUGUGAGGUUAAGCGACCAAGCGUACACGGUGGAUGCCCUGGCAGUCAGAGGCGAUGAAGGACGUGCUAAUCUGCGAUAAGCGCCGGUAAGGUGAUAUGAACCGUUAUAACCGGCGAUUUCCGAAUGGGGAAACCCAGUGUGACUCGUCACACUAUCAUUAACUGAAUCCAUAGGUUAAUGAGGCGAACCGGGGGAACUGAAACAUCUAAGUACCCCGAGGAAAAGAAAUCAACCGAGAUUCCCCCAGUAGCGGCGAGCGAACGGGGAGGAGCCCAGAGCCUGAAUCAGCAUGUGUGUUAGUGGAAGCGUCUGGAAAGGCGCGCGAUACAGGGUGACAGCCCCGUACACAAAAGCGCAUAUGCUGUGAGCUCGAUGAGUAGGGCGGGACACGUGGUAUCCUGUCUGAAUAUGGGGGGACCAUCCUCCAAGGCUAAAUACUCCUGACUGACCGAUAGUGAACCAGUACCGUGAGGGAAAGGCGAAAAGAACCCCGGCGAGGGGAGUGAAACAGAACCUGAAACCGUGUACGUACAAGCAGUGGGAGCACAGGUUUACCUGUGUGACUGCGUACCUUUUGUAUAAUGGGUCAGCGACUUAUAUUCUGUAGCAAGGUUAACCGCAUAGGGGAGCCGAAGGGAAACCGAGUCUUAACCGGGCGUUAAGUUGCAGGGUAUAGACCCGAAACCCGGUGAUCUAGCCAUGGGCAGGUUGAAGGUUGGGUAACACUAACUGGAGGACCGAACCGACUAAUGUUGAAAAAUUAGCGGAUGACCUGUGGCUGGGGGUGAAAGGCCAAUCAAACCGGGAGAUAGCUGGUUCUCCCCGAAAGCUAUUUAGGUAGCGCCUCGUGAAUUCAUCUUCGGGGGUAGAGCACUGUUUCGGCUAGGGGGUCAUCCCGACUUACCAACCCGAUGCAAACUGCGAAUACCGGAGAAUGUUAUCACGGGAGACACACGGCGGGUGCUAACGUCCGUCGUGAAGAGGGAAACAACCCAGACCGCCAGCUAAGGUCCCAAAGUCAUGGUUAAGUGGGAAACGAUGUGGGAAGGCCCAGACAGCCAGGAUGUUGGCUUAGAAGCAGCCAUCAUUUAAAGAAAGCGUAAUAGCUCACUGGUCGAGUCGGCCUGCGCGGAAGAUGUAACGGGGCUAAACCAUGCACCGAAGCUGCGGCAGCGACACUGUGUGUUGUUGGGUAGGGGAGCGUUCUGUAAGCCGUUGAAGGUGUGUCGUGAGGCAUGCUGGAGGUAUCAGAAGUGCGAAUGCUGACAUAAGUAACGAUAAAGCGGGUGAAAAGCCCGCUCGCCGGAAGACCAAGGGUUCCUGUCCAACGUUAAUCGGGGCAGGGUGAGUCGACCCCUAAGGCGAGGCCGAAAGGCGUAGUCGAUGGGAAACGGGUUAAUAUUCCCGUACUUGGUGUUACUGCGAAGGGGGGACGGAGAAGGCUAUGUUGGCCGGGCGACGGUUGUCCCGGUUUAAGCGUGCAGGUGUGUGUUCCAGGUAAAUCCGGUUCACUUUAACACUGAGGCGUGACGACGAGGCACCACGGUGCUGAAGCAACAAAUGCCCUGCUUCCAGGAAAAGCCUCUAAGCAUCAGGUAACAUCAAAUCGUACCCCAAACCGACACAGGUGGUCAGGUAGAGAAUACCAAGGCGCUUGAGAGAACUCGGGUGAAGGAACUAGGCAAAAUGGUGCCGUAACUUCGGGAGAAGGCACGCUGACAUGUAGGUGAAGUGGUUUACCCAUGGAGCUGAAGUCAGUCGAAGAUACCAGCUGGCUGCAACUGUUUAUUAAAAACACAGCACUGUGCAAACACGAAAGUGGACGUAUACGGUGUGACGCCUGCCCGGUGCCGGAAGGUUAAUUGAUGGGGUCAGCGCAAGCGAAGCUCCUGAUCGAAGCCCCGGUAAACGGCGGCCGUAACUAUAACGGUCCUAAGGUAGCGAAAUUCCUUGUCGGGUAAGUUCCGACCUGCACGAAUGGCGUAAUGAUGGCCAGGCUGUCUCCACCCGAGACUCAGUGAAAUUGAACUCGCUGUGAAGAUGCAGUGUACCCGCGGCAAGACGGAAAGACCCCGUGAACCUUUACUAUAGCUUGACACUGAACAUUGAGCCUUGAUGUGUAGGAUAGGUGGGAGGCUUUGAAGCGUGGACGCCAGUCUGCGUGGAGCCGACCUUGAAAUACCACCCUUUAAUGUUUGAUGUUCUAACGUGGACCCGUAAUCCGGGUUGCGGACAGUGUCUGGUGGGUAGUUUGACUGGGGCGGUCUCCUCCUAAAGAGUAACGGAGGAGCACGAAGGUUGGCUAAUCCUGGUCGGACAUCAGGAGGUUAGUGCAAUGGCAUAAGCCAGCUUGACUGCGAGCGUGACGGCGCGAGCAGGUGCGAAAGCAGGUCAUAGUGAUCCGGUGGUUCUGAAUGGAAGGGCCAUCGCUCAACGGAUAAAAGGUACUCCGGGGAUAACAGGCUGAUACCGCCCAAGAGUUCAUAUCGACGGCGGUGUUUGGCACCUCGAUGUCGGCUCAUCACAUCCUGGGGCUGAAGUAGGUCCCAAGGGUAUGGCUGUUCGCCAUUUAAAGUGGUACGCGAGCUGGGUUUAGAACGUCGUGAGACAGUUCGGUCCCUAUCUGCCGUGGGCGCUGGAGAACUGAGGGGGGCUGCUCCUAGUACGAGAGGACCGGAGUGGACGCAUCACUGGUGUUCGGGUUGUCAUGCCAAUGGCACUGCCCGGUAGCUAAAUGCGGAAGAGAUAAGUGCUGAAAGCAUCUAAGCACGAAACUUGCCCCGAGAUGAGUUCUCCCUGAGACUUUAAGUCUCCUGAAGGAACGUUGAAGACGACGACGUUGAUAGGCCGGGUGUGUAAGCGCAGCGAUGCGUUGAGCUAACCGGUACUAAUGAACCGUGAGGCUUAACCUUACAACGCCGAAGCUGUU
rnacentral:rRNA from 1 species